ensembl:miRNA gga-mir-34c gga-mir-34c
AGCCUGGUUACCAGGCAGUGUAGUUAGCUGAUUGCCACCAGGACCAAUCACUAACCACACAGCCAGGUAAAAAG